GAAGAAAGUAAGGGCGUACAGU
rnacentral:rRNA from 1 species